rnacentral:rRNA from 1 species
UGGGGAAUAUUGGACAAUGGGCGCAAGCCUGAUCCAGCAAUGCCGCGUGUGUGAAGAAGGCCUGCGGGUUGUAAAGCACUUUCAGUGGGGAGGAAGGCCUCGGCGUUAAUAUCGUCGAGGAUUGACGUUACCUACAGAAGAAGCACCGGCUAACUCUGUGCCAGCAGCCGCGGUAAUACAGAGUGAGCAAGCGUUAAUCGGAAUUACUGGGCGUAAAGGGCGCGUAGGUGGGUAAUUAAGUCAGAUGUGAAAUUCCCGGGCUUAACCUGGGAAUUGCAUUUGAAACUGAUUGGCUAGAGUACGGGAGAGGGAAGUGGAAUUUCCGGUGUAGCGGUGAAAUGCGUAGAUAUCGGAAGGAACACCAGUGGCGAAGGCGACUUCCUGGCCCGUUACUGACACUGAGGCGUGAAAGCGUGGGGAGCGAACA